rnacentral:rRNA from 1 species
UACAGAGGUCUCAAGCGUUUGUUCGGAUUCAUUGGGCGUAAAGGGUGCGUAGGCGGCGCGGUAAGUCGGGGUGUGAAAUUUCGAGGCUUAACUUCGAAACUGCAUUCGAUACUGCCGUGCUCGAGGACUGGAGAGGAGACUGGAAUUUACGGUGUAGCGGUGAAAUGCGUAGAUAUCAGGAGGAACACCGAUGGCGAAGGCAGCUCGCUGGGGACGGUACUGACGCUGAGGCGCGAAAAGCGUGGGGGAGCAAACAGG